CCUACGGGAGGCAGCAGUGGGGAAUAUUGCACAAUGGGGGGAACUCUGAUGCAGCAACGCCGCGUGCGUGAAGAAGUACCUCGGUAUGUUAAGCCCCGUUUGCAGGGAAGAAAAUGACGGUACCUGACCCAGAAGUCCCGGCUAACUACGUGCCAGCAGCCGCGGUAAUACGUAGGGGGCAAGCGUUAUCCGGAUUGACUGGGUGUAAAGGGCGCGUAGAUGGCAAGGCAAGUCAGGAGUGAAAGCCCGUGGCUCAACCACGGGACUGCUGUGGAAACUGUGUGGCUUGAGUGCAGGAGGGGAAGGCGGAAUUCCUGGUGUAGCGGUGAAAUGCGUAGAUAUUAGGAAGAACACCGAUGGCGAAGGCGGCUUACUGGACUGUAACUGACGUUGAGGCUCGAAGGCGUGGGGAGCAAACAGGAUUAGAUACCCCUGUAGUC
rnacentral:rRNA from 1 species